GUGAACGCUGGCGGCGUGCUUAACACAUGCAAGUCGAACGGUAACAGGAAGUAGCUUGCUACUUUGCUGACGAGUGGCGCACGGGUGAGUAAACUAUAGUUAAUGUGCCUCGAAGACUGGGAUAGCCACUGGAAACGGUGAUUAAUACUAGAUACACCUCUUUAGCUCAAGCUAGAGAGGGAAACGUUUUUUCGCUUCGAGAUCAGACUAUAUCCUAUCAGUUAGUUGGUGAGGUAAUGGCUCACCAAGGCAAUGACGGGUAGCGGUUCUGAGAGGAUGAUCCGCCACACUGGUACUGAGACACGGACCAGACUCCUACGGGAGGCAGCAGUGAGGAAUAUUGCACAAUGGAGGAAACUCUGAUGCAGCAACGCCGCGUGGAGGAUGACGCAUUUCGGUGUGUAAACUCCUUUUAAGAGGGAAGAUAAUGACGGUACCUCUUGAAUAAGCACCGGCUAACUCCGU
rnacentral:rRNA from 1 species